GUUUGUUAGCUAUCUAGAAGUUGUCCAGGGCUCCCUGAGGGAGGCCAGCACAAGAGCUCUGCCAUAAAAGGACAUUGGACAGAAGUGAAGAGUCCAAUCAGAAACUCUUUUUGAGAGACUGAACGCAAAGCAUUCAGAGAGUCAGCAGGCUGGAGAGGCCAAGACACACACACGAAGAAGGCAGGACACUCUUCUCCUCCUGCGGUUGGACUCCAGGCUCUAUGACCUUCAAACUCCAGGACUUACACCAGUUGCCCCUGGGCACUCAGGACUUCUGCUUCAGACUGACAGUUGCAGGACAGUGCAGCAUUUUAUUUUAAAGAUACCCCACAACGUAGGUGGCCAGUCCUGCUGCAGACUGUGUCUGUAUCUGGGAUCAGUUGCGAAGCAGAAGUAUGACGUGACUAAGGCCACCGCUGGGUUAGGAUACCCCCAUCCAAGAUUGAGAGCUGUACUAGCCUGGCAUGCAGACAGCAGCUUUAGAAUCAGAUCUGCCUUCUGGCGGCUUCCCACCUAGGAGCCAUGGGACCUUUGUGAAGUCACCAAUUGUGCUGUGGAUGCUUCAUUUGUGAAGGAGAACAGGACUGCCUUGUGAAAUUACGGAUGGUGCUACUAAAACAUAUCAAUAAUUUGAAUUUCACUUUUGUGGAUGCUUUAAACAUCAUAGUCAUUAGAAGGUGGAUCUGGCUGAUUGUACUUUAAGUUUUCAGUUUGAGCUGGAGCUUUGUAUUAUAACAGGAGGGUACUGGACAAGAUGAGGAAACUGAGGUACAGAUGGGAAACUUGCUCAAGUUCACACAGCAAUUAAGUGAUCAAGUCCAAGAGCAAAACCAGGCAGGCUGGCUCCAGAGCUCACGAUAGUCCACCACUGCUUUCCACCAUCACUACGGAAUCAAGUCCAUGAGGAUACUCACCUUAUGUCAGUUGCCUAAGUUGGAAAUUAUAGAAUCUUCAAAUUGGAAGGGACGUUAUCAUCCAAGAUUUCAACUUUCUACUCACUGCAAAAUCCCUUCUGGAACUUCCCAGAUUGAUGAAUUUUCAUCAGCUCUGCUUGAGUACUCCCAGUGACUUGGAAAAAAAACACUGUAAUAUGGAUAUGAAAUAUAAACUGUUCAUGGAUAAAUUAUUGCAUAAUAAAAACAUGCCUAAUGGCUACACUCCCCUAAUAUGUUCAUUUGACUUCCCAGGAUUUAGCAACCAGGGCCUGGAAGGCAGACAAAGGUAACUGGCCCCAUGUGAUAAAAACAGGCCCGGGAGCAUCUUCAUUAAGGCAGGCAGUUUUGGGCCACCCGAUCAUGACCAUGGAUCUACGUGCUGGAACUUGAAAGUAUGUCCACGCUCAAGAUUUCUGUCUCUUCUAAAGCAAGAAAGGACUGGUUUUGCAUGCCCUGCCUAUGCACAUCUUUAUGAAAAUGUAACCUUUUCACUCACUUUCUGAACUCCACAAAAGAGUCAGCUUUCUCCUGUUGGUGAUGAAACCAGCUGUUGAAAUACUUCAAUUGGGUUGCAGUUGCUUC
rnacentral:lncRNA from 1 species